rnacentral:lncRNA from 1 species
GUUGUCUCUUCCACAUAUUACUCGCAGUCAGCGACAGAGGGCUUUCCCACGCCAGGCCUGCAGAUCCCAGUCGGAAGCUUUAUCUAUCCUGCCCCUUGGGGGACUGCGGCUGGCUUUCCCCCAUGAGACCUAUUCUGUAUUGAACAGGAAAGCACAAACAAUCACAAUGCCCAGCAAAGAUAAAGUGUUUUCCAUGCUCUCUGUUACGACAGUGAUCCCCAUAGAGACGUAAUCUUCAGUUUACGGAGACUUUUUUCUGAGUCCCAAAUUGCAGGAAUCUGUGGGGUUUUCCCCCUAACCUUGCCCUUCCACCCUUCGUGGAUCCUCCUGGAAUGGUCCACAGGCAUCUAUAUCUGCUGUCCCCCAACCCCACCAGCAAGGGGCGCGCGAGAUGAAACAGUUCUGUCCUGGGAUGUACCACCGAGGGGUAGCGGAAAGACCACCCACUCUGGAAGGUACCAUUGGGAGAGGGCGUGUGACAACAGAGAGGGUCCCCUUACACCGCGUCGGGCAUGGACCGCAGUUCCCAGCAGCGGCACUCAUGGCGCCACUAGGUCCAUCCCCACUCGCUCCUCUUCGUCUUCCCACUGCUUUUGAAUCCGAGUGGACACAGGACCAGCAGCCCAGUGUUGAGCAACCUCAACAAGAGGAACGGCCACCUGAGAUUCAGGAUAUCACACCUGAAAAGGAGGAAGUAAAUGGAGAGGAUCCGGUGAAUCAUAAUGAAGAGAAGGAGAAGGAUGCCUCUGGAGGUAAAGUCUGAAUCGAUGCAUUUUUUGGUAAAGAUUCUCACCUGGAAACUGAUCUCCAGGAAUUGGCUGAAGCAAAGACUGGGGGUAAAGGUGGAGAUGGUCCUGAUGUCAGGGAGGAAUUUGCAUCAAAUACAGAGCCUGUUGAAAUGCCAGAAGCAGGUAUGUCAUCCAUUCAGAAAGUAAUUUAUGUGGUUUCUGUUUUUUCAGAAUAUUAUAUCUUUACUAAUAUAGAGGGAACAUUACUAUUAUUUUAAUAACAGAGUUCACAUAUUCUUUGAAAGAUAGUUCAGACCCCAGAUGCCUGAGUGCCUGACUUACAGACUUUCAAAUAAAGAAACAGAGAGGAUCA